rnacentral:lncRNA from 1 species
UUGAAAAAUCAAUUUUAUCUAUUUUACUUCACCUUAUCAUACACCUACUCUAUUUAAUAACUUUUUCACAAAAAACAAAAAUAACUAAUUCUCAACAAAAUAACAACCUACCCAAUUAAAUAUUGACAACUUAUCCUGCACCCAGCCCCUACUCCACACACCCUCCCCUCCUCAUUUCCUUCACGUUUUUCUAUUUCCCAUAAUAGAAUACAACAAUACAGACAAGACUCACAAUACACUCCUCUAUUUUCACAAUACAUACACUUAUCUACACACACAAAAACAAAAACGGAGAGAAAUAGGAGGGUAGAGGGAGAAAAAUAGAGAAGUGAGUAGCGAAAACAGAGAAGAAAAAUUGAGAGAAAAGGGUGAGACGUGAGAGAGCCGGAGAGAAAAUCAGUAAAAGGGGAUUGGAAAAUUUAGAGAGAAUCGAGAGAGAGAGAGAGAGAGAAAUCAAGAGAGUGAGAAAGAGGAAUUAAACAGUGAGGAAUUAGAGGGGAAAGUGGAGAGAGGAAUGGGAGCAAAAUCAGUUUGCACUACUUUGAUAUUUCGGUGAAAUUUUGUUGGAAUCGCCGUUCCACCAUUAAAUCCGAUACACCUAUCUCGCUGGAAAAAUCAUAAAAACCAACGACCAAGCUUCUCGCUGGAAACCAAUCAGAAAACCAGCUCCAUUCCUCACCAGACUCGCAAAACCAACGAAUAACCAACCCCAUUUGAGUUGAUUUCAGUGAAGUCUCAACGAAAAAUAACCAUAAGUUUUGAAUUCUAUUGAUUCCAGCAGAUCAAACUACCAGAAACACUAUCUCCGUUUGAACUUCGGUCAUCUCUUGUCAUCGGGUUAAAGCCAUCCAGCAGCUCCACCACCAAAACCUACUAGAAAACAACCGGGUUUAGGCAAAACAGAGUUCUGGUCAAAGUUGUUAAGUUGGGAUUUGUAUUGGGGUUCAAAUCGAUGUUUUUAGGUGCGGAUUUUGUCUGUUCAUUUGAGUAAUAUUGGAUUUCGAAAGCUCCAAAUUGAGGUCCAACUCUACUUUUUCCCUCUCUUUAUUUCAUUAUCUAUGAUAUUUGGUGCAUUGGAUUGAACAUUGUUUGUUGGUUGAUCCUUAUUGGUGAUGAAUAGUUGCUUGUGUUGAUUUUCUUGAUUAUGGAUUGUGUGAUGAAAUGAUAUCUCUUUUGAGAACUAAACUCAUGUUAGUUGGGAAUGAAUUUUGGGGCGAAAAUUGUAAAUUGAUAAAAGUGAAUAUUGAUUUUGUUUUGAUUCAUUGAUGUUGUUGAAUGCGAUAGUACCAUAAUAAGCCAAAAUUGGUAAGCAAACGGUAGAUUGGGUAAGAAAAUUUAGGAAUUAUAGAUUAUUGAAUUUGUUGAAUGUUUUUUAAUUUAUCGCACAAAAUUGAAAUUGUAUUCAUUUGCAAGGGAAUGUCUUGAGAAAAAUUAUAUUUAUUCAUCUGAAAAUACCCCGAUGUAUUAUAUCUUCGAAGGAGAUUCUUGAUCAAGGUCUGAGACAUCGCGUAGAGCAUAGUUUAGGAUUAAUGUAAGUUAGUGUAGGUUUUCAUUUCAACAUUUUUUAUUCGAUUUGUAUUAAUUGGACUAGACACUGUUUUUUUUUUUUUAAAUUUUGGUGGUUUGAUUGUUUGUUUUCUUGUUUAUGUGUUUUGUUGGUUUAUACAUUUUCAUAGUGUCAUACUAGCCAAUAUAUUCUACGAAGAAAUCGUGGUCAAACCACGGGACUGAGGGAUGCCUAACACCUUCCCCUUGAUCAAUAGAAUUCUUUAAUCGGAAUAUUUGUUCGUGGAUCAAUUUUAAAGAGUCAAAAAAUCAUUUUGAAAAAGGAUUUUCAAAGGUGACUUGGCACACCAGAUUUAUGCCAAGUGGCGACUUUGAGUUUUAUUGUGAAAAAUUCUUUUCGAGGGUAACAGACAUUCAUCACCAUAUCUUAUAGUAUCCUUACAUGCUAAUUGUUGCAUCUUUGAGGGUAACAAGGUUAUUUAACUAGGGGUGGGCAUUCAGUUUGUUCAGUUUGCCUGUUUCAUAUUCAGUUUUUUGAUUUUUGAAUUGACGAAAAUGACAACCAUAACCAAACAAAAUUAAAUUCAGUUUGAUUCGGUUUCUACAAAUUCAGUUCGGUUAUUUCAAAUUAUUAUUUCGGUUUUGAAGAUUAAAUUAGCAAACCUUACUUUGUUAUGACUGGUUUUGAAAUGUUGUACAUCUAUGUCAAUUUUUCAUGAAAUACCAAGCAAAUACGUCGAUGAUUCAUGCAUGUUGGUGAUAUAGACAUCUCAAGCAACACAAGUAUUGCUUAUUAUAUAAGACUUAAGUGAAUAUGGAAAGGUGUUGUUGCUCCCAAUGUUAUCCAUCAAAUCACAAUACUAUGAGUCUCCGACUAUAAAUUCUAAUAAUUGUCGCAACAAUACCACAAGACAUGAAUUUAGGGACGUAAAUAGUAAGAUUAGGUUACUUAUUAUAUAUUUAUAUUGAAUAUAUAAAAUAUAUAUUAUUUAUAUAAUUUGGUUUUUCGGUUUAACCAAUUUUUUUUGAAAAAACGAAAAUCAAAUUGUUUAAUCAAAUUUCAAAAAUUUGAAAUCGAGAUCAAUCCAAAAAAUAAAAAAACUGAAACCAAAUUUAAAUUUUGAUUUUUUCGGUUUAAACCAAAAUAUGCCCAGUCCUACAUUUAACAGACUGAUUUGGGGGAAUGUGCUAGAAUUACAAAAAAACGUGUGUUUAGGCAAGAAAAAGUUCAAGAGAAAAAGAAAAAAAGAAAAAAAUUGUAAUGUUUAGGAUAUUUUAUGCUUUUGUUUUUCACACUCAAAAAUGCAAAAAGAUUUUUUACCUUUUGCACUUCGUUUUCUGAAAAAAAAAAAAAAGAUCAAAAAGAUUUCCCCUUUGUUUCCUUUAGCAAGCAUUCAUAAUUCAAAAAUUUAAUUUUUUUUUAAUAGGAGAUUUUUAUAAAAGAAAAAGAGAAAAUACCCAAUUACCCCCCUGAACUAUACCCAAGAAGGCUAUACCACACCUCGACUUAAAAGGGAUCCUAUUACACCCCUGAACUAAUUAAGUGUAAUUUUGACACCCUUAGUGCCUAUGUGGCACAUAGGUGGCACACACGUGUGCCUACGUGGACACUUCAGUGUGUUGUGCCACGUAUGUGCCACGUAGACAUUAAGGGUGUCAAAAUUAUACUUUUAAUUAGUUCAGGGGUAAUAAGACCUCCUUUAAGUUGAGGUGUGUCAUAACCUUUUUGAGUAUAGUUCAGGGGGGUAAUUGGGUAUUAUCUCAAAGAAAAAUUCAAAAAGAUGGUAGAAGUUUUGUACAUUUCAUAUAACUAAAAUGCCAAAAAGAUUUUUCUUUAAGUGUUGUCAUGUUUUUCUUCGUUGAAAAUUUCAAACAAAACAAGUUGUGGUGGUGCUUUAUUUUGAACAAUACCAAAACCUACUAGAAAACAACCGGGUUUAGGCAAAACAGAGUUCUGGUCAAAGUUGUUAAGUUGGGAUUUGUAUUGGGGUUCAAAUCGAUGUUUUUAGGUGCGGAUUUUGUCUGUUCAUUUGAGUAAUAUUGGAUUUCGAAAGCUCCAAAUUGAGGUCCAACUCUACUUUUUCCCUCUCUUUAUUUCAUUAUCUAUGAUAUUUGGUGCAUUGGAUUGAACAUUGUUUGUUGGUUGAUCCUUAUUGGUGAUGAAUAGUUGCUUGUGUUGAUUUUCUUGAUUAUGGAUUGUGUGAUGAAAUGAUAUCUCUUUUGAGAACUAAACUCAUGUUAGUUGGGAAUGAAUUUUGGGGCGAAAAUUGUAAAUUGAUAAAAGUGAAUAUUGAUUUUGUUUUGAUUCAUUGAUGUUGUUGAAUGCGAUAGUACCAUAAUAAGCCAAAAUUGGUAAGCAAACGGUAGAUUGGGUAAGAAAAUUUAGGAAUUAUAGAUUAUUGAAUUUGUUGAAUGUUUUUUAAUUUAUCGCACAAAAUUGAAAUUGUAUUCAUUUGCAAGGGAAUGUCUUGAGAAAAAUUAUAUUUAUUCAUCUGAAAAUACCCCGAUGUAUUAUAUCUUCGAAGGAGAUUCUUGAUCAAGGUCUGAGACAUCGCGUAGAGCAUAGUUUAGGAUUAAUGUAAGUUAGUGUAGGUUUUCAUUUCAACAUUUUUUAUUCGAUUUGUAUUAAUUGGACUAGACACUGUUUUUUUUUUUUUAAAUUUUGGUGGUUUGAUUGUUUGUUUUCUUGUUUAUGUGUUUUGUUGGUUUAUACAUUUUCAUAGUGUCAUACUAGCCAAUAUAUUCUACGAAGAAAUCGUGGUCAAACCACGGGACUGAGGGAUGCCUAACACCUUCCCCUUGAUCAAUAGAAUUCUUUAAUCGGAAUAUUUGUUCGUGGAUCAAUUUUAAAGAGUCAAAAAAUCAUUUUGAAAAAGGAUUUUCAAAGGUGACUUGGCACACCAGAUUUAUGCCAAGUGGCGACUUUGAGUUUUAUUGUGAAAAAUUCUUUUCGAGGGUAACAGACAUUCAUCACCAUAUCUUAUAGUAUCCUUACAUGCUAAUUGUUGCAUCUUUGAGGGUAACAAGGUUAUUUAACUAGGGGUGGGCAUUCAGUUUGUUCAGUUUGCCUGUUUCAUAUUCAGUUUUUUGAUUUUUGAAUUGACGAAAAUGACAACCAUAACCAAACAAAAUUAAAUUCAGUUUGAUUCGGUUUCUACAAAUUCAGUUCGGUUAUUUCAAAUUAUUAUUUCGGUUUUGAAGAUUAAAUUAGCAAACCUUACUUUGUUAUGACUGGUUUUGAAAUGUUGUACAUCUAUGUCAAUUUUUCAUGAAAUACCAAGCAAAUACGUCGAUGAUUCAUGCAUGUUGGUGAUAUAGACAUCUCAAGCAAC